UCUUGUUUCCAUAACUGCACAGAUUUUUUUGAACAACACCUAUUUUGUAAAGGCCCUCUGCAAUCCCAAAUGGUUUGUUCUUGUAACCUCAGUUGAGCAGCCAGCAACUAUGUAAUUGGAGAAGAUUGAGUACACACAGCAAAACCAUAGCCUGGUGAGCUCCUGAGAAACUGAAACAAAGAUUACCAGAUGUUUACCCUGCCCUUCCAUAUGUGAAGGGAAAGAUGAACUUACCCACCGACUGCAAGAGGCACACUGAAUGAGUGACUACUACUGUGUUCCUCAGGAUAUUACUCAGGAAUCCCCUUCGACUGAUGGAAACCAUGGAGCCGUCC